rnacentral:rRNA from 1 species
AACGUAGGAGCCUAGCGUUAUCCGAAUUCACUGGGCGUAAAGCGCGUGCAGGCGGUUCGGUAAGUUGGAUGUGAAAUCUCCUGGCUCAACUGGGAGAGGACGUUCAAGACUGUCGGACUAGAGGACGGUAGAGGAAGGUAGAAUUCCCGGUGUAGUGGUGAAAUGCGUAGAUAUCGGGAGGAAUACCAGUGGCGAAGGCGGCCUUCUGGACGAUGACUGACGCUGAGACGCGAAAGCGUGGGGAGCAAACAGG